GACGUAGGUGGCGAGCGUUACCCGGAUUCACUGGGCGUAAAGCGCGCGUAGGUGGUUUGUUAAGUUGAAUGUGAAAUCCCCGGGCUCAACCUGGGAACUGCAUCCAAAACUGGCAAGCUAGAGUAUGGUAGAGGGUAGUGGAAUUCCCGGUGUAGCGGUGAAAUGCGUAGAUACCGGUCGGUAUCCCGAUGGCGAAGGCAACCUUCUGGGUCGUUCCUGACGCUGAGGCGCGAAAGCGUGGGGAGCAAACCGG
rnacentral:rRNA from 1 species